rnacentral:rRNA from 1 species
AGAGUUUGAUCCUGGCUCAGGAUGAACGCUGGCGGCGUGCUUAACACAUGCAAGUCGAACGAGAUUCCACCGAGCCGAGCAACUUGUUGCAAAGCAUGGUGGUUGAAAGUGGCGGAUGGGUGAGUAACGCGUGAGCAACCUGCCUCGCACAAGGGAAUAGCCUCGGGAAACCGUGAUUAAUGCCCUAUGAUAUGCAGAAAUCGCAUGAUUUUUGCAUCAAAGCGUUAGCGGUGUGAGAUGGGCUCGCGUCUGAUUAGCUAGUUGGUGAGGUAACGGCCCACCAAGGCGACGAUCAGUAGCCGGCUUGAGAGAGUGAACGGCCACACUGGAACUGAGACACGGUCCAGACUCCUACGGGAGGCAGCAGUGGGGAAUAUUGCACAAUGGAGGGAACUCUGAUGCAGCGACGCCGCGUGAGCGAAGAAGGUCUUCGGAUUGUAAAGCUCUGUCCUAAAGGAAGAUAAUGACAGUACUUUAGGAGGAAGCCCCGGCUAACUACGUGCCAGCAGCCGCGGUAAUAC